UACGUAGGAGGCGAGCGUUGUCCGGAGUUACUGGGCGUAAAGUGUGCGCAGGUGGCGUCGCAAGUCGAGUGUGAAAGCCCCGAGCUUAACUUGGGAAUUGCGCUCGAAACUACGAUGCUGGAGUGUGGCAGAGGAAGGUGGAAUUCCACGUGUAGCGGUGAAAUGCGUAGAGAUGUGGAGGAACACCGAUGGCGAAGGCAGCCUUCUGGGCCAACACUGACGCUCAUGCACGAAAGCGUGGGGAGCAAACAGG
rnacentral:rRNA from 1 species